rfam:Pontibacillus yanchengensis Y32 contig81, whole genome shotgun sequence.
UUCAGGGGAGGUUCAACUAAGACCGUCACAUCGUGUGACAACGUUGAACUACCCUACAUCGUGUAGG